UCUUCUUCCUAGCUUUUCUCCAAACCAUACCUUCUUCAAAAGCUUGAGUUUCAUGGUGUUAAGGAAAUCAACAACUUUUCCUCUCUUGAUCUCUAUUUUUCCAUCAUCAAACCAAAGGUGAUGAGAACGUGUCGUGCGGCAAGGAGCCGUGAGAAGGACACCCAUGGGCUUUUCUCACCUAAGUACUUGUUGCAAGUAGUAGGUGCGGUUGUGUGGCAGCGUGUUGGGCAUUUUCCACUGUCCUAUCUUUUGUAUUUUUUUGUCUUCUCAGUUCAUGUAUGUUUAUUUUGGUCAUGCACAUGUUAUUGAGUCUUGGAACCACUAGUAUGUAGAGAACCAUGUUGCAUGGUUUGUAUAUUUGUCUAAUUUC